UCCUGAUCUUCCCAUUUGUAGUUCUCACACGUUUGAUCCCAGGCGUGCUGCUCAUCUCUUCUCCAUUCCUAACGUUAUGUCAACAGUAGAGAGGAAAGAGCCUGGCAGAACUCUCCUUUAAAAAAAUAUGAAGUGGAUUACAAGUUUGGUACAAUUUGGCAGAGAAGCGUUCCUUUCUUUUCGUCACACUCUAAAAUUUCCCCUGAAAGAGAUUUGAGCAUUUGAUAUUCCACUCCAGUGUAGCAUCGGCGUUUGGAGCAAAUCCCUCCUCUUCAGUGACUCCCCUCGCAUCUGACUUUCAGAUUCCAGGCAUGCUCUCUCUCCACAUGGGUCACAGCUCCACCACCAAAACGGCCCCUCACAAUUUCGGAGUGCAUUCAAAUGGUGCAUAAACGCCUCUGAAUUUCUGCCAGUUGGAGCAGUGAGCCGAUAAUUCAAAAUGCUACACAUGCACAUCAGGAUGGACGGCCUUCCACAGUCAAACCAAUACAAUCAAAUGAAACAAUAUGUUUAAACCAAAUGCAGUAAGCUUCUGUUAUCAAAUGACUGCACCGACAGAUCUUUCCCUACAAUUUUGUAGUUAUUGCUGGUAGUUUGAAUAAAGGUCUCAAGGUUUAGAAACACAUCUAAAGCACUGCAGAAAUGGCAGUUGUGAGGACUUUGCUGUGAGACUGACAUGAGGAAUCUGUUAGCAUUUUACAAUAGCAUUAGCUUGUUAGCUGUAAAGAAGGUCCUUCAGUAACGUGAUGUGGAGGGCCACUGCUCUGUUUUGUGUUACAGGAUCAGCGCUGAACACAAACAAACUGUGAUCUCGCCCCGAUGGAAGACAAAAUAUAGUUACCGAAACCCUGUUUAUUGUAAACACUGGGGCUGAGGCUUUCCAAAUGGCUUGCAGGUACUCGAGCAGCUGCAAACCGUCAUGGACGCAAAGCGAGUGUGGUUUGUGAUCGCGUCAUUAGCUACUGCUAACGUAUGCCUGGAUUAUGGAAGAAAUCAAUAAAUUAGUCUGCCGAGUUGAAACAGAAUGAUACAGGUUAUGGUUUUCCUUCUGAUAAGAAGACUAAGUGGUGAUGUUGAUGAAAUGGUAGAAAGAGUCGCCUCCAUUGCCAGAUUACAUAAAGCCCCACAUCCCACGCUCCUCAACGCCGGCUCCAGACCACCUACUUGUUACCGCAUGCUAUCGGGAAUGUUUCUUGGAAAAAAAAGAGCAAUUAUUGAACACCUUCGGUGUGCAAGGAAGAGGAGCCGGCUGACCUCGGAAAAGGACAAACAGCGAGCUGCCGCCUGCCACAGACAGCAGAUUACGCUUUAUCGCAUUUAAAGGACUGGGACCUUGAAAUAAUGCACAUUUAAUAAAAUUACCUGCCAGUAGCGCAGGAAGGCGCA